GACGAACGCUGGCGGCGUGCCUAAUACAUGCAAGUAGAACGCUGAAGGAAGGAGCUUGCUCUUUCUGGAUGAGUUGCGAACGGGUGAGUAACGCGUAGGUAACCUGCCUGGUAGCGGGGGAUAACUAUUGGAAACGAUAGCUAAUACCGCAUAAAAUGGAUUAUCGCAUGAUAAUUCAUUGAAAGGUGCAAAUGCAUCACUACCAGAUGGACCUGCGUUGUAUUAGCUAGUUGGUGGGGUAACGGCUCACCAAGGCGACGAUACAUAGCCGACCUGAGAGGGUGAUCGGCCACACUGGGACUGAGACACGGCCCAGACUCCUACGGGAGGCAGCAGUAGGGAAUCUUCGGCAAUGGACGGAAGUCUGACCGAGCAACGCCGCGUGAGUGAAGAAGGUUUUCGGAUCGUAAAGCUCUGUUGUAAGAGAAGAACGAGUGUGAGAGUGGAAAGUUCACACUGUGACGGUAUCUUACCAGAAAGGGACGGCUAACUACGUGC
rnacentral:rRNA from 1 species